GCUGGGUGCUGUGGCGUGCAUCUUCAAUCUAGCUGCUUGUAGGCCGAUUUCUCGAAUGGCGUAAGUUCAGGACCACUGCAGUGCAAUCUCCUAUGUCGAACGAGCGUCCACACUAAGCUCAAUGUCAACAUGGUUAUCAUGUAGGAAUGCAAGAUACACCAGGUUCGAUAAUAAUGAACGCAUUGGCCAAUAGCGGCAUGCAGCAGGCAAAAGUUCUCAAAAUGAACAGUAGUGGGAUAGCACUAGUGAGAAGGCGUUGUGCUGUAGCUUGAACAAUACAGUCGAACGAAGAUCUU
rnacentral:SRP_RNA from 1 species